GCCGGGCGUGGUGGUGCACGCCUGUAGUCCUAACUACUCGGGAGGCUGAAGCAGGAGAAUCACUUGAACCCAGGAGGCGGAGAUUGCAGUGAGCCAAGAUCACGCCACUGCACUCCAGCCUGGGUGACAGAGUGAGACUCCGUCUCAA
rnacentral:SRP_RNA from 1 species